rnacentral:rRNA from 1 species
GACGAACGCUGGCGGCGUGCUUAACACAUGCAAGUCGAACGAUGAACCGGUUUCGGCCGGGGAUUAGUGGCGAACGGGUGAGUAACACGUGGGCAAUCUGCCCUGCACUCUGGGAUAAGCACGGGAAACUGGGUCUAAUACCGGAUACGACACUCCGAGGCAUCUUGGGGUGUGGAAAGUUACGGCGGUGGGGGAUGGGCCCGCGGCCUAUCAGCUUGUUGGUGGGGUAAUGGCCUACCAAGGCGACGACGGGUAGCCGGCCUGAGAGGGUGACCGGCCACACUGGGACUGAGACACGGCCCAGACUCCUACGGGAGGCAGCAGUGGGGAAUAUUGCACAAUGGGCGAAAGCCUGAUGCAGCGACGCCGCGUGCGGGAUGACGGCCUUCGGGUUGUAAACCUCUUUCAGCAGGGAAGAAGCGAAAGUGACGGUACCUGCAGAAGAAGCACCGGCUAACUACGUG